UUCACAGCCAUAUCACCCUGCAGCCCAAGUCUGGUUGCCCACUGAAGCUAAGCAGGGUUGAGCCUGGUCAGUACCUGGAUGGGAGACCUCUUGGGAAAACUAGGUUGCUGCUGGAA
rnacentral:rRNA from 1 species